GAUGAACGCUGGCGGCGUGCUUAACACAUGCAAGUCGAACGAGAAGUGAAGACGGACACCUUCGGGCGGAAGGCUUUAUUUGGACUGGCGGACGGGAGAGUAACGCGUGGGUAAUCUGCCUCAUACAGGGGGAUAAAAGUUGGAAACGACCGCUAAUACCGCAUAAGACAACAGCACCGCAUUGUGCGGGGGGCACAACUCCGGUGGUAUGGGAUGGAUCCGCGUUCGAUUAGGCAGUAGGCGGGGGAACGGGCCAUGACAGAGACGAUCGAUAGCCGGGAUCAGAGGAUGACCGGCCACACUGGGACUGAGACACAGCGCGGACUACUGCGGGAUGCAGCAGUGGGGGAUAUAGCACUAUGGGGUAGAUGCUGAUGCAGCUACGCCGCGAGAGUGAAUUAGUAGUUCAGUAUGUAAAGCUCUAUCAUCAGGGGCUGUUAUGACGGUACCUAAGGAAGAAGCCCCGGCUAACUACGUG
rnacentral:rRNA from 1 species